rnacentral:lncRNA from 1 species
GUCCUUCACUUUCUCCACUCACUCCUCAUCGCACUUAACUUCCUGGCUCAUGGCCUCUUAUCCCCUAGGUUUCUGCUUACAAAUCACUCCUUCAGAGUCCCUUCCCUGGCCCCUUCCUUGUUCCUUCUCAGUCCUGUUUUUUUUUUUCCCUUCAAGCUCUGAUCAUAGUUGACAUUAUUUCUUGCCCCCCUUUCCCGACAACCUCAGGGCCAAGCCAUGUUGUUCUCUUUUCUUUUCCACCUUCUGCAAAUAUUUAUCCUACCUAGCCAAUAAAUCUGGAGAUAGAUACCAUGUAGAAAUGAGAAGAAUUGUUGCCAAUCUAUCUUCUGUCAUCCAAACCAUUUAUUUACCCUGAAACUGAGUUUUACCUUUUCUUUUUUCAGCAUCAACAACUAAAACUAUGAGGCCAUUACUCAGUGUUCAAAGUAAGCCCUGUGUUUCUGAGUAUAUGUCAGCAUCUCCUGGAGGUUGUGAAGUGGAUGGAGGGAACCCCAGCUGCACCCUGCACCCAGAUCCAAGGCUAGAGGAGGAGCUGCUUCUGACUUUCUCCCUGUCUGAGCCAGGACCCUGCUGCCGCUCUGCUAUUCCUGGACUCCUGAAGUCAUUGCCUGAGAACAACCAGAGAACGGAGGGCAAGAUCCACCCCAGGCUAAAAUUCCCUGUCCUGUACCCUACAGAGUGGCCAGAAGGAUCUUCUCGGAAUGCGGAUUGGAAAAAAAAUGCAGGUAUACAAUAUAAUGACAUUCAUCAUUGGAAAUUUGCACCGAAGUGCCCAUCAACUGGAAACUGAAUAAAGAAGAUGUGGGUUUUUUUUAUAAAAUGGAGUACUACUCAGCCAUAAAGAAUAAGAAGCUAGAGACAUUUAUAGAUAAAUGGAUGCAUAUUGAGGCCAUACUCUUAAGUGAAAUAAAUAGGACACACAUGUGUAAAUACCGAAUAGUUUCUCUAGUGUGAGAAACUGAAAGUGUAAUUAAGCAUU